rnacentral:rRNA from 1 species
CCUACGGGCGGCAGCAGUGAGGAAUAUUGGUCCAUGGGCGAGAGCCUGAACCAGCCAAGUCGCGUGAGGGAGUACUGCCCUAUGGGUUGUAAACCUCUUUUGUCGGGGAGCAAAAGCCGGACGUGUCCGGCUGUGAGAGUACCCGAAGAAAAAGCAUCGGCUAACUCCGUGCCAGCAGCCGCGGUAAUACGGAGGAUGCGAGCGUUAUCCGGAUUUAUUGGGUUUAAAGGGUGCGCAGGCGGAUUGUUAAGUCAGCGGUAAAAUCGUGGGGCUCAACCCCAUCCAGCCGUUGAAACUGGGGAUCUAGAGUGUGCGAGAGGUAUGCGGAAUGCGUGGUGUAGCGGUGAAAUGCAUAGAUAUCACGCAGAACCCCGAUUGCGAAGGCAGCAUACCGGUGCACAACUGACGCUCAGGCACGAAAGCGUGGGUAUCGAACAGGAUUAGAUACCCCGGUAGUC